rnacentral:rRNA from 1 species
AUUUCGUGAAUCAUCAAAUCUUUGAACGCACAUUGCGCCCUCUGGUAUUCCAGGGGCAUGCCUGUUUGAGCGUCAUUUCUCUCUCAAACCUUUGGGUUUGGUAGUGAGUGAUACUCGUCUCGGGUUAACUUGAAAGUGGCUAGCCGUUGCCAUCUGCGUGAGCAGGGCUGCGUGUCAAGUCUAUGGACUCGACUCUUGCACAUCUACGUCUUAGGUUUGCGCCAAUUCGUGGUAAGCUUGGGUCAUAGAGACUCAUAAGGUGUUAUAAAGACCCGCUGGUGUUUGUCUCCUUGAGGCAUACGGCUUUAACCAAAACUCUCAAAGUUUGACCUCAAAUCAGGUAGGGGUACCCGCUGAACUUAAGCAUAUCAAU